GACGUAGGGGGCCAGCGUUGUUCGGAAUUACUGGGCGUAAAGGGUUCGUAGGCGGUGUAGCAAGUCGGGAGUGAAAUCUCUGGGCUUAACCCAGAGGCUGCUUCCGAAACUGCUGUGCUUGAGUGUGGGAGAGGCGCGUGGAAUUGCAGGUGUAGCGGUGAAAUGCGUAGAUAUCUGCAGGAACACCCAUGGCGAAAGCGGCGCGCUGGACCACUACUGACGCUGAGGAACGAAAGCAUGGGGAGCGAACAGG
rnacentral:rRNA from 1 species